rnacentral:tRNA from 1 species
UUAAUUAAAGCCAAAAAGAGGCACCUUAUUGUUAAUAAGAAAAUUGAAUUAGAUUCUAAUUAAA